UGCCCGCCGCGAGGGCAUCAAGGCAAGGAGCUGGCGCGGGUUAGCGCGGGCGGGCUGGAUCGGCACGGCCUGGCACGGCCUGCCUCGCCCCCCCCCCCUCCGGCACGGCGGUGCCCGUAGAGACCGGGGCCGGGCUGACCCUGAGCCGCGAGCUUGGCCUGUUGCAUCCUAGGCUCAGCGUGCUGCCCCGGACCGUGCUAGCGGCUGGCACAGCUCGGCACAGCCCGGGCUGGCUUGGCACAGCCCGGCCCGGCCCGGCUCAUUGAAGUUUGGUCUGAGGUUGGCCAUAAGCAAAAGGUGGAGCUGGUCCCUAACAAAGUCCAUUUCAUGAAAACUCUCAGCUUGAAACCGCUUCUUUUUGGUAAGACACAAGGCCCCGCACAAAACCUGCUCACACGGUAGCUGAAAUCCCAUUGGUAUUUUAAUCCACACUGCAGUCUGGAUAUAUUUGUGGCCAUUAUGGGCCCCAAGCCAAUAAAGAGAGAGCACUGGAGUUAUGGUAAUUCAGCAUCUGGUUGAUACAAUUA